rnacentral:rRNA from 1 species
UACGUAGGGGGCUAGCGUUGUCCGGAAUCAUUGGGCGUAAAGAGCGUGUAGGCGGCCCGGUAAGUCCGCUGUAAAAGUCAAAGGCUCAACCUUUGAAAUGUCAGUGGAUACUGCCCGGGCUAGAGUCCGGAAGAGGCGAGUGGAACUCCUGGUGUAGCGGUGGAAUGCGCAGAUAUCAGGAAGAACACCAACGGCGAAGGCAGCUCGCUGGGACGGUACUGACGCUGAGACGCGAAAGCGUGGGGAGCGAACAGG